GCAGUAGAAAAUACCUGAGAUUUGAAUAGUAGUAACACAAUAUGGUUCCAAAUUGCAAAAAAUGCAUCCCAUAAGAGUCUUGUUGGGUUUCUUUUCCAGCACAUACUACUACUACUACUACUACUACUAGGUCUCCAAUAUCUGGUCUUCUUCUAAUCACCUGAUGUGAAAAUAGUUCAGGCGCCAUUCUCCAUGGGAGCAGAUGACAAAGGCAGGGAAAAGGCAGCUGUCACCAGACCUUCUGGGAUCCAGCUACAGUGGAGCAGAGGUUGUGGAGAUAAGGCUCAACAGCUAUUGCUGCUCUACAGCUGCUGGGAAGAGAGCCAAGAGCGUAACCUGGGAGAAUGAUGACCACGACAAUGCUGUGAACCUGGAGAUCAGAGGAGGUCUCUGUUGAAUGUCAGGCUGAGGAGUGCGAUCGUAACAGCAGCCUGUGUGGGACGAGUCCAGGACGUUCCUUCUCUGAAACCUCACUGUUCUUGGUCGGAAAUGCACACUUGUCCCAGAAAUAUUUGCCCUGCCUAGUCUUUAGUAACGGUAAAAACAGAUUUUGUCAGAAGCACAGCAUAAAACUUAAGAACCUUUUUAUAACUUAUGACAUGCAUAUCGUGUAUAAAAUCAACAGUACAUGCUAUGCAUGUCAUACAGUAUGUUUAUGAAAUAUUUGCAGCCCAAUUGUAUUCCAUUUCUCAAUUAGGAUCUGUUGGCUAGACCAGUGGCUCUCUGUCCUAGUCCUAGUCCUAGUCCUGAAGGUCUGGUGUCUGCUGGUCUUUGUUCCUGCUGGUAUUUUAAUCACCAGUGUUAACUGGUGACUCUACCUGGUGACUUUUACUGCUCUCAGUCCUUAGUUUAAAAACUACUGUAAACACAUUAUUUCCAAAAGCUAUCAGCACCGUGAAUGUUAAGACGAAGAAAAAGAUUUUGCUUCCUUUUUUCGGACUAAUUAGCUCUUAAUGGGUGACCAGUUAAAGAUGAACAGACGUGGGUGUGAAUGACACUGUAUCAGACAACUACCAUGAAGGAGGACAACUGGAUAUUACAAGGAAGUGCAUUUAGGGAUGAGAACAGGAGAUCCGUCUUUUCACAAAGGGAGGCACACAGAGGUGUCACUAAAUCACCUGAAAGAUGUUGGAUGUAAGGACCUCAAUAUUGAAAUUCCUAAUGAGGUUUGGGAAGAGGGUUUGAGCAACAUUCACCAGUGGUCUAUUAAUGUUAGACACCAGAUCAUACAAUACAAGAGUCAACUCUCAGACUAGCAAAGCAAGAACAAGCAGCACUACAGUUCUGAAUGGUUGUGGCCAAAACAAAAAACCUAUUCUUAAAGAAAUGUGUCACUGGACCCUGUUUCAAGAGCUGGUUCAGUGAGAUGAUCUCCACUAUGAAGAAGAUAUGUUUCUAUAGGACAGGCACUGUGGGGCGAUUCCUUAGGGUCUUGAAUGUGUCAAAAAAUUAGUUUUUUAACAGAUCCCUGCCUGUUUUCCACACUCAAACAUUCUGUGAUUACUUAUAUGCUAGAAUUCGACUCUUAUUUCAGUGAGAAAACUUUAAAAAGGCUUAAACUUAAGUUUGAGCUGUUUUUACUUUCUCUGACUGGUUUUU